rnacentral:rRNA from 1 species
UUCAACGGCCACGGUAUCCUGACCGUGCGAAGGUAGCAUAAUCACUUGUUCUUUAAAUGGGGACUUGUAUCAACGGCAUCACGAGGGUUUUACUGUCUCCUUUUUCUAAUCAGCGAAACUAAUCUCCCCGUGAAGAAGCGGGGAUAUUUAUAUAAGACGAGAAGACCCCAUGGAGCUUCAAACCCAAUUACACCCCCCCCCCCCCC